CCCAACCCCAACCUCACCCCCACACCCAACCCCAACCCCAUCCACAACCCCAGGGUUCUGAAGGACCAGUAUAUGAAUAUGCAGGACAAAGGUUGAAGAUAGAACCAGGACAUGAAUUAUGUUAUCAAAAAUGUUAUCAAGGUAUUUUUGCUGGUGAAGGUAGUCCAUUAUAUGCAGAAAAAGAAUGCUACGAUAUGUGCCAUAACAAUGGUAAAUUUGUAUUUCCAAACUUUAGUCCUCCACCUUGCGCGAACAAGGUUUAAUCAACGUGUAUAGAAACAAUUACUCCCUCGAUCUAUUCUUUCACUUUAUAUCGCGGCAUUACUAUUUAGGGAGUCAAAAAAGACGUUCUUCUUUGACCACACUUUUAUGGAGGCAAGUAAUUUUUUUAAUUCCAUGCCAUAUUAAUUAACCAACAAAGAAUCUUUUUUAUAAUUAUGGCGUGACAUGUAUAGUCACACUCUAUAAAUAUAUAUAUUCUUUUGUGUUGGUGAUCAUUUGUAAUUGUAACAGAUAUGUCAUCAAUUUACUGAUUUGUGUUAUAUUAUUUUAUGUGGUUACAUACUUACAUUUGUUUAAUAAUGCGAAUUAAGUGUUGGGAACGUGCAAUCUAGGUGUGCAAUGGGUGUUUUUUUUUCUUUUUUUUGGGGGGAUUCUUAUUAAUGUCUUUGUUUUAGGAGAUCAAUUUUUAUGGCACAUUAAAAAUAUUAUUUUGGUUAUAUGACGGUGUUUACAGGAAAUUGAUAAAUCAAAUUGGCAAGGUCCAUGAGAAUGUCCAAAAUGGAUAUUAGUUAAACUCAUAUUUUAAGAGUUCUUAAAUUUCACCUCUUGUUUUUCUCUCAACAAGAGUGUUUAUCCUCAAAAUCGGAUAACAAUUGAAUUUGUAAGUGGCUUUUAGGAUACGCGGAUUAAUUUGAUACAAAGUGAUAAAUUAAGUUGCAAUUUAAAUAAACAAUGAUAAAGUAAAUUCAAACCACAAGAAUUUGAUAGUUUUAAUCUCGGAAGGUUAGCCACCCUCGAGCCAGAUGCACUUUGAUCAAUAUCACGAUACAGAAGAACAAGAGUUUAAAGAGAAAAAUAAUAAUGUAUUAUUUUGGAAUGCGUAUUACAAUGUGUUAAAUGAAUCAUCAAACCCCAUUUAUAUAGUAGAGAAGUCCUAUAUUUGGUACAAUUCUAUAAAAGGUAAGAAAUCUCUUGAUUUGCCGAUUGCCAAUUCCUCAUUGAUACGUGCCGAGAUUCUCACCGCAAUAUCCGACCGGUCACGGAUAUUUCGGUCUUCUGUUAUGCCAACAAUGUUUCUUCGAGCUCGUUCGGGGCUAGGAUCGAUUCAGGGAUCACGAUCUCGAUAUUCUCGAAGGCGGGCGUUCCAACCCCGAGUUCUAGCCCGGUGAGACCUGGGGUCGAUCUUAAGUUCUUUUUUGCCAUAUUCCGAACCUGACUUACCAUGUCGUAAGCGAGCUCAAUUUCGACCAUAUAUAGAUAGUCCCCUCAUUUUUCGGAGAGUAGACGACGAGAAAUGACAUGAGCUUCCGAUUCUUACUUCGAUACCCCGUGAUAGAAAUGACAAAACAUACGAAACGUCUCGUGAGUUAAGUCUCAAUGGCAUUAAAUGCAUGUCAGCCGCCGGUCGGCCAUUACUGGAUGUGAACAGCCACUGAAAUACUAGAAAUACCUCUUCUUUUAUUCAUUCCAACUUUACAUUCAAACCUUCUACCCUCGUAUUUUCAAAAUUUCAAUACUUUCUAGCAGUUAUACUUCGGUUAUUUGAGAUCCUUUGCAAGAACCCUUGUUCAUUUCUAUCUUAAGCCAUCAAGUUUACUCCUUUAACUUCCUCAUUUUCUUCAUUUUCCCUCAAUUUUCAAAGAAAUAGCGAAGACUUCAAAAAUCGUUCCCCAAAAAGAAACUCCCUCUACCUCGCGGCCGGUUACCGAGGAGACCGUUUCGCGUACCGCUAUCGAGAAACCAGUACCGGAACCCCCAUUGAAAAUAUUCGUCCCUGGAGGAUGAUAGGUAAUCGACGAUUUCAAGGUUUAAAACCUUCCCCCAUACAAGGCCGGUGUGAGGAGGUCUCGAGAUACAUAUGCUCGAUCACUGAAGAAGUCCUCCAUACAGUCAAAAAGGAUUGCAAUUGAGUUGACAAGCACGUGGUAGCUCCCGGACCCGAUGAAGACAUCACCACCCACGUUGAGGGAUACUUAAGUGCUUACACUUAUCCCUUUACACUGGGCCCAUUAGAUCCGGUCAUCAUCGACUUCUCCAAAAGAUAUGGGGUAUGCCUCAGUCAAAUUCACCCCUCAUUCUGGAGGAUCGUGAUCCUUCUUUGAUUCUUCAUGAGAAAGAUUGAUGGAUUCCCGCUCACCAUCGACUACCUCAUGCGCCUAUACAGUCCCCGAAUCUUUCGGGGGGGGUGGGGGUGGGGCUGAUCAAGCUCGCACGUUGGGCCAGUAAAGCCCCAUUCUCGAGUAUUGAUGAAGAUCAGGAUCGAGGCUGGCUAGGCCGUUUCGUCCAAGUGAGGACCUCGGACUUGAUUGAUGGUAGGUUAUAAUCCCGUAUUUUAGUCAUUUAUUGUACUCUAAUUAACUACACUUUACUUAUGUUGAGCUUUAAUUAGUAGUGUUUUUGUACUUAUUGUGUGUUUUAUGCUUUGUAGGAGUGAUUCCGAGUUAUGUAGAUGUUGUGGAGCUAAUUCGAGCUAUUUGGCGCUUUGAAGUUUGAGUAAAAGCCCAAACAAUUAAGCCGGGAUCGAGUCCAUGGCCGAGGAUUGAGUAUGUAUUUAAAAAGUAAAAGAAAUAAGAAUAGAAAACAUGAGUGGAGGUAAUAAUGACUUGCAAAUUAAAAGUUAGCAAGAUACUUUGUGUCUGCCAACACGCCAAACUUUUGAGCAAUUCAAACAAAUAAAAAAAGGGCACAACAACGUGAUGUCACACUUUUUUUUAGGCCAAAACGAACAACCCUCUACUUUUGUCCACAGCCGCGCCGCAUGGGGCACGACGCGGCGCGACAGUGCAAAAUAUAGCCAGAAUUGAUUUUUCAAAGUGUUUUGGAAUUCUCUACAGGCACGCCGCAUGGAACGGAGUGGGGCGCGAUGCGGUAGCACAAAAAUAUUUGAGUGACUUCCCAUUUCCGCUAAAAAGGGUAGUUUCGUCUAGUGUUUUUUUGGGCGCGGCUUAAAUACACCAAAACACCAUUUUAGAUGGAUACUUUUGACACAAUUUCGACCUAAGGAGGCUAAGGAGGAGUUGGAAGAACACAAGCACAAGAAUUUCAUCAUUCCUUCCUCACUCAAGAUCCAGGUUUGGAUUGAAUUUAUGUUUUCCUAUACUUUAGUUACAUUUGUGAAGAACUUCUCCAUGUCUAUGGAGUAUAUCCUUUUGGGUUUUGAUGGAUUUGGUGUAUUGAUGAUUAUUUCUGUAUUAUAACUCUAUUUUUAUGUAUUUGAAUUAUUUUUGGAAGAUUUAAUUAUUGCAUCCAUAUUCACUUGUUUUUGUAAUCGAAAGAGGCAUAACUUGUAAAAUCUUUGCAUUAUAUUAUUGCUUGAGUUCAUAGAUUCUUCUAAGUAAUCGAAAGAGUCAAGUUGAAUCAUUGAUUAAAUCUAGUUAGGAGAAUAAUCGAAAGAGGUUUUCCUAAAUACCGAUCCACUAUACAUUCUUGCACAUCUUCAUAGUGCUUAAAUUGGUUCAUCUCGUGAGGUUAAGACUUAAUCGAGAGAGGAGUUUUUGCUGAAUGUUUGAACUAAUAAUAGAGUGAAUUAGAGAGACUCACUUGAACAUUGGAAAGUGAAUUAUCUAGAGUUAGAUCCCGAACAAUUAUCUUGCACUUAUUCUGUCAAAACCCUAUCCUCUUCCACUGAUAACCCUUAAUUGCUUAUUCCUUGUUUCGAUAGUCACGAGUCAAUAGCUGUAGUCCCGGAUAGCAAUCAAGAUAGAAACUACAAGAAAACUAUUUAAAUCCACUCCAUGUGGACACGAUAUUAUACUAUACUAUCUUUGACUAGUGAGCACAAUUUAAGUGUGUGUUUUGUACUCGUCAAAUGAUCCUUCUUUGAUUUUUCAUGAGCAAGAUCGAUAGAUGCUCGUUUACCGUCGACUACCUCAUGCGCUUAUACAGUCGCCGAAUCGUUCGGGGUGGGGGGGAGGGGUGGGGGAGGGGGUGAUCAAACUCGCACGCCGGGCCAGUAAAGCCCCGUUCUCGAGUAUUGAUGAAGAUCAGGAUCGAGGCUGGCUAGGCCAUUUUGUCCGAGUGAGGACCUCGGACUUGAUCCCAGCAAAGAGCUUAUGUCGUUCCCCGAGAAGUGGAAUAUAUCAUGUAAGUAAAAUUUUAUUUUCAAAAUCUUAUUUUAUUCCUUUUUCCUUCCUUCUUAUCGGUGCUUUGUGGUGGUGCAACUGCCACUCGGGUCCCGAAUGCAGUCCCUCGACUCAAGGAGUGGGUCGAGGGCAUUGUGUUACAAAGGCCAUAUUCCGAGCGAUCAUGGCACAAACUUUAGAAGGGACGGUGGGAGGCCCGUUCUCACAGUGAGAUUCCUUUCCCGAGUAAGUAAUAUUUGGGUUCCUCUCGUGUCAUUAAGUUCUCAAUUGUUUUAUCUCCUUUUACAGGUUUAUUGUAAUGACCCGGGUGAUCGUUUUGAGUGUAUUAGCCCCGAUCCCUUAUUUACUGCAUUCCCCGUAUCUAUUUCUGCUUAUGUGACUUGCCGAGAAAUCUUGUUUUGGUUUCGGAGUGUUUCAGGACAAUUAGUCCCUAAAACGGAAGCUUAAGUCUCAGAUUUUGACCGUAGUCAGAAGUGUAUGAAGACGACUCCGGAAUGGAGUUCUAUCAGUUCUGUUAGCUCUGUUGGGUGAUUUUGGACUUAGGAGCGUGUCCGGAUUGUGAAUUUGAGGUAUGUAGCUAAUUUAGGCUUGAAAUGGCGAAAGUCGAAUGUUUAAGAAAUUUGACCGGGGGUUGACUUUUUGAUAUCGGGGUCGAAUUCUAGUUUCGAAAGUUGAAAUAGGUCUGUAAUAUUGAAUAUGACUUGUGUGCAAAAUUUGAGGUCAAUCGGGCGUGGUUUGGUAGGUUUCGGCGUCGUUUGCGGAAUUUGGAAAUUUAGAAGUUCCUAGGCUUGAAUCUGAGGGUAAUUUGGUAUUUUUAUGUUAUUUUGGGUGAUUCGAAGGUUCGACUAAGUUUAUAGGGUGUCAUAUGACUUGUUGGUAUGUUUGGUUGAGGUCCCGAGGGCCUCGGGGUGAUUCCGGGUAGUUAACGGAAGAAUUGGAGUUGAUGAAAUGCAGCUGAAGCUGCUGAUUCUGGUGUCUUCCGCACCUGCGGAGUAAGAGCCGCAGGUGCAAGCCCGAAGGAGAGACUAAGGAGCUGCAGAUGCAUCCAUGGAGGGCCUGGGCAAGAACCACAGGUGCGAAGGUAUUCCCGUACCUACGUGAGUCGUAGAUGCGGGCAGGGAGGCGCGGGUGCGAGUAUUGACCGCAGAAGCGAGAUAGUUUCCGCACCUGCGUAAGGCGCAGAUGCGGUUUUGAGGCCGCAAGAGAGAAGUCAGGAUUUUAAGUGAAAUCCGCACCUGUGAUGGAAUUUCCUCAGGUGCGGCAUUGCAGGAGCGAUCAAUGGACCGCGGGUGCGGUAUUGCUGGGUAGAAAAGCACAAGCUCGAGGUUUUGUCUUUCAUUUUCAAUUUUGGACUUGAGAUACUCGGGAGAGAGGCGAUGUUUCGAAGGUUUUCAAGGAGCAACAUUGGAGUAAGUGAUUCUAACCCAUGAUGGUAUAAAUUUCGUGAAUCCAUGGCUUUAUUCAUCACCUAAUUAGGGAUUGAAGCUAGAAAUAUAGGAGUUUAGGGCUUGAAAAUUGGAGAGUGGAUUUUGGGGAUUUGAAUAACUAAAUGAGGUCGGAUUUUGAUAUAUUUGGUAUGGUUAGACUCAUGAGUGAAUAGGCUUUCGGGUUUUGUGAUUUUUGUUGGAUUCCGAGACGUGGGGUCGGGGGCCAGGUUUGAGCUGAUUUCGGAUUUUGGCUAUAACUUAGUAUUUUUCUUGUGGAAUUGAUUCCUUUAGCUUAUAUUGAUUGUAUUGUAUUACUUGUGGCUAGAUAAGGGAUGUUCGGAGGUCGAAUUGAGAGCCAAGGGCAUUUCGGAGUAGGACUUUGCUUGGUUUGAGGUAAGUAAUGCUUUCAAACUUGGUUUUGAGGGUUCGAAACCCGGAACUAUGUGCUAUACGAUCGGUAUUGAGGUGACGCACAUGCCAAGUGACGGGCGUGCGAGCGUGCACCGUGAGAAUUGUGUCUUGGUUGAUUCCAUGGCACAGUAUAGUGACUCUAUUUUGUUGAUAUCAUGUUUAGACUUUAUGCCGGUAUUGUUGGGAUCCUUAGUGGUCAUUUCUUGCUGUCAUCCCACUGAUUUCAUUGAUAUUAUGUACUCAGUCAUGUUUAUGCAUAUCAUAUCAUAUCUCCGUCUCAGUUGUUAUUUAUUGAUACAUCAUAUCAUUGUUUCGGGCUAGUUUUCAUGAUAUUGUGAGCCCGUGAGUGAGACUAGGGAGAUUAAUGACUGAGUGAGGUUGAGAGCCUGAUUAUGAGUGACAGUUAUGGGAUCGGGCUGCACGCCGCAGCGGUUAUACUAAUUUUAUGUUAGCGCUUGGGCUGUAGGAGCCCCUCCGGAGUCUGUAACACAUCCCCAGUGAGCGCGGUUGAUAUUAUUGAAGGAUGGAUCUUCCCUAGACAUGGAUCUUGUCCGAAGUACUUGAUACUCGGAGAUAGAUCUUCUCCACGGGGCUAGAUUGUCCUUCCUCAGUACUAGGUGACUUAUACUCAGUGAUGUAUAUAUUCCAGGAUAGAUCUUCCCUGGGUCGUAUGGGCCAUAUACAGUACCGAGUGGUUGAGCAUUCGAGAGUGUAAGCACAUGAGGCUGAUAGCAUGGUGCAUCACAUACAGCAUGUGCAUUGGCAUGUAGAGAUAGCAGAGUUAUAUUCUUUGCAUUAUUCGGAUCUGCUUCACCUUACUGUUUUGAGUUGCCUAUUUAAUUUGAAAGCAUGCCUACGUUUCUGUUCAGUUAUUUCUAUUUUAUGUGUACCGGUUGAGUUCGUCACUACCUUUCAGUCCAAAGUUUGGACUUGUUACUUACUGAGUUGGAUGUACUCACGUUACUCCCUGAACCUCAUGUGCAGAUCCAGGCAUUUUUGGUCACGACGACUGUUGCUGAUUGCGGCUUCAAAAUUCGGAGACUAACAAGUAGCUGCACGGUGUUCGCAGGCCUUGACUCUUUUUUUAUCACUAGUUAUAUUUUCAGUUUGUUUCUCUAGACACUGUAGUGGACUGUAUUCUGAUUUAGACGCUCAGGUACUCUGUGACACCCCAGCUUUGGGAUGGAUUGUAUCGUAUUUUGGAUAUUUGUGUUUUCAAAAAGG
rnacentral:lncRNA from 1 species